rnacentral:rRNA from 1 species
AUGAUAACUGAACUUCCAUUGCCAUUUCAUUCGAGCACCACCAUACAUAGGAACAGACGACACAUCAUAUCAACACCAACAAACAGAGGCACUCAACACACAUUCGAAUCACAGGACAAGAACAGCUACUGGCCAGCAUUACCGGCGACCACGACGAACCUAGGCGCGCUCCCCGCGGAUGCGGCGGGCGAGCUGGAUGUCCUUGGGCAUGAUGGUGACGCGCUUGGCGUGGAUGGCGCACAGGUUGGUGUCCUCGAACAUCCCCACCAGGUACGCCUCGGCGGCCUCCUGCAGCGCGGAGACGGCGGAGCUCUGGAACCGCAGGUCGGUCUUGAAGUCCUGCGCGAUCUCCCGGACGAGGCGCUGGAAGGGGAGCUUGCGGAUGAGCAGCUCCGUGCUCUUCUGGUACUUGCGGAUCUCCCGGAGGGCGACGGUUCCCGGGCGGAAGCGGUGUGGCUUCUUGACGCCGCCGGUGGCCGGCGCGGACUUGCGCGCCGCCUUGGUCGCCAGCUGCUUCCUCGGCGCCUUGCCGCCGGUGGACUUGCGGGCCGUCUGCUUGGUGCGGGCCAUCGGAGCUGGGGACUUGAGCGAGCGGUGGUGUUGUCUUCUUUGGAGAUCGGGUGCGGCGGCGGUGUGUUGUGGGGAUUCGCCGGAGCGGUGGGUGGCUUAAGAAGGGGCGGGGAUUUGGACGAUGGCGCGAGGCCUGAGAAUUUCGAGAGGAAAUUUUCGGGGUCUGGCCGGAUCUUCGCGCCACGAAGGACGAGAGCGCGGGAUCGGGUGGGACGUUGGAUCAGGGAGGGAUGGACGGUGGAGAUGUGGUUCUGCGGGUAA